rnacentral:rRNA from 1 species
CCUACGGGAGGCAGCAGUGAGGAAUAUUGGUCAAUGGGCGAGAGCCUGAACCAGCCAAGUCGCGUGAGGGAGUACUGCCCUAUGGGUUGUAAACCUCUUUUGUCGGGGAGCAAAAGCCGGACGUGUCCGGCUGUGAGAGUACCCGAAGAAAAAGCAUCGGCUAACUCCGUGCCAGCAGCCGCGGUAAUACGGCGGAUGCGAGCGUUAUCCGGAUUUAUUGGGGUUAAAGGGUUCGCAGGCGGAUUUUUAAGUCAGCGGUCAAAUCGUGGGGCUCAACCCCAUCCAGCCGUUGAAACUGGGGAUCUAGAGUGUGCGAGAGGUAUGCGGAAUGCGUGGUGUAGCGGUGAAAUGCAUAGAUAUCACGCAGAACCCCGAUUGCGAAGGCAGCAUACCGGUGCACAACUGACGCUCAGGCACGAAAGCGUGGGUAUCGAACAGGAUUAGAUACCCUUGUAGUC